AUACAGAGGUUGCAAGCGUUAAUCGGAUUUACUGGGCGUAAAGCGCGCGUAGGCGGCUAAUUAAGUCAAAUGUGAAAUCCCCGAGCUUAACUUGGGAAUUGCAUUCGAUACUGGUUAGCUAGAGUGUGGGAGAGGAUGGUAGAAUUCCAGGUGUAGCGGUGAAAUGCGUAGAGAUCUGGAGGAAUACCGAUGGCGAAGGCAGCCAUCUGGCCUAACACUGACGCUGAGGUGCGAAAGCAUGGGGAGCAAACAGGAUUAGAAACCCCAGUAGUCC
rnacentral:rRNA from 1 species